rnacentral:rRNA from 1 species
GACGAACGCUGGCGGCGUGCUUAACACAUGCAAGUCGAACGGAAAGGCCCUGCUUUUGUGGGGUGCUCGAGUGGCGAACGGGUGAGUAACACGUGAGUAACCUGCCCUUGACUUUGGGAUAACUUCAGGAAACUGGGGCUAAUACCGGAUAGGAGCUCCUGCUGCAUGGUGGGGGUUGGAAAGAUUCGGCGGUUGGGGAUGGACUCGCGGCUUAUCAGCUUGUUGGUGGGGUAGUGGCUUACCAAGGCUUUGACGGGUAGCCGACCUGAGAGGGUGACCGGCCACAUGGGGACUGAGGUACGGCCCAGACUCCUACGGGAGGCAGCAGUGGGGAAUAUUGCACAAUGGGCGGAAGCCUGAUGCAGCAACGCCGCGUGCGGGAUGACGGCCUUCGGGUUGUAAACCGCUUUCGCCUGUGACGAAGCGUGAGUGACGGUAAUGGGUAAAGAAGCACCGGCUAACAACGUG